AGAAGAAGGAAAAAAAU
rnacentral:sRNA from 1 species